rnacentral:lncRNA from 1 species
UAUUAGACGUAGGAAACAGAUCUUGAUGAGGGGGACUAUUAGAUGGAGGAAACAGAUCUUGAUGAUGGGAACUAUUAGACGGAGGAAACAGAUCUUGAUGAGGGGGACUAUUAGACGAAGGAAACAGAUAUUGUUGAGGGGGACUAUUAGACGGAGGAAACAGAUCUUGCUGAGGGGGACUAUUAGACGUAGGAAACAGAUCUUGGUGAGGGGGACUAUUAGAAGGAGGAAACAGAUCUUGGUGAGGGGGACUAUUAGACGGAGGAAACAGAUCUUGGUGAGUGGGACUAUUAGACGGAGGAAACAGAUCUUGGUGAGGGGGACUAUUAGACGGAGGAAACAGAUCUUGGUGAGGGGGACUAUUAGACGGAGGAAACAGAUCUUGGUGAGGGGGACUAUUAGACGGAGGAAACAGAUCUUGGUGA